rnacentral:lncRNA from 1 species
CUUGCUGUGAACCUCAUUGCGUGCUGCACGCACUAAAGCCGGUAUACGAGUGCCUCGUCCUUCGGAAUGCACACUGCUGUUGUUCGAUGACAAUUCCUAGAGGCAAUCUCCAGAACUUUCGCCUUCGUACCUUUUGGUUUGCUCGAGUGCGCGACAACGGUUGCCCUCAUACAAGAGUUGUAAGAUGGCGUGAACCACCAGUAGUAAACGACGCCACCUCGGAACGCAGCAAAUCGUGCUUUCGAUACAGUUAAUUCGAAUGGAAAGGGUUAGAGAAGAACUUCAGCGUCUUCCGAAAAGCCGCGAAAACGGCGAGGGGCUACGGCCUUCAGCGUUUUGUGAACGUUCAACGUGUGUCGCCCCGCUCGUUGUACGCUUAAGAUCAUCGAAUAUAACGGUGUGCUCCUGAAUGUAACGGCACAAACUUAAACUGAGGACUCGAGAAGGUUCGGCGUUAAAAGUAAUUCCAUCAAAAACCGAUGGUUUGUUAGCACUUAUGUCAUCUCUGUACGCAUACAGCCAUUUGGAGCAACCCCCCUGAAGUGAGCAGACCCUUAAACCAGAUGAAUUCAUCCAUGAACACUUCCGGGUAAAGCCGACGAUGUUCAAAAUUUUCGUGCCUCCAUGGUCUGCCAGUUUUUCUCGGAAUUAUCAUGCUCAAGGCUGCACAGUUACCAGCGGAAACUGCUACACAGAGAAGACGUAGCUGGCGGAUAAAAGGAAAGUCGGGGGGACCGCUGCUUCCACGCAGUAUCUUUCGAUGAAUCCGUUCCUUGAGCGGCACAUUCCUAUUCCAUUUUAUAUUUCAGUUGUUCAUCACUAAGAUGAAGACGAGGCCGCUCGUGUUUUUGCGUCCAUCUACGGAUGUUAGCGGCAUCAUUGUCUUGAGGCACCGUUCUCAGCGUAGGAGACACCUGGUGAACAAGAGUGCGUGAAAUUUCAGAAAAGUGUCUGAAUUGAACGAUGCUCUGUGCAAACAGUGGCUGUGCAGGUUUCUCCAAGAAACCACCACUGAGGGUGCGUUUGUGCUCGGCUGUUUGUGUGUGAAGGGAAUUGCUGGGUGAGACUACUAGGAAGUUCCUUUCCUGGUGGUCUGUUUUGCCUUUUUUUUUAGUUUGAGGAUUCGCAUUUGUUGUACUCUAUAGAGUGAUGUUCUCGAAACCGUGCUCACACAGCAGUACCCAAGAUCUAAUCAGGUGUCCGACUCUCAGUCUGUACUCUCCAGAAAACGGUUAUAAAAACCCUUGAC